CCUACGGGUGGCAGCAGUGAGGAAUAUUGGUCAAUGGGCGCAAGCCUGAACCAGCCAUGUAGCGUGUAGGAUGACUGCCCUACGGGUUGUAAGCUUCUUCUAUAAAGGGGUAAGGUGAGGCACGUGUGCCUUUAUGUAUGUACUUUAUGAAUAAGGAUCGGCUAACUCCGUGCCAGCAGCCGCGGUCAUACGGAGGAUCCGAGCGUUAUCCGGAUUUAUUGGGUUGAACGGGAGCGUAGAUGGGUUGUUAAGUCAGUUGUGAAAGCCUGCGGCUCAACCGUAAAAUUGCAAUUGAUACUGGCAGCCUUGAGUACAGUUGAGGGAGGUAGAAUUCGUGGUGUAGCGGUGAAAUGCUUAGAUAUCACGAAGAACACCGAUUGCGAAGGCAGCCUCCUAAACUGACACUGACACUGAUGUUCGAAAGUGUGGGGAUCAAACAGGAUUAGAUACCCCGGUAGUC
rnacentral:rRNA from 1 species